rnacentral:lncRNA from 1 species
AUGCACGGGGCCGGCGCUGUGGCACAGUGGGUGCAGCCACCACCUGCAGUGCCAGCAUCCUGUAUGGAUGCCAGUUCAAGACCUGGCUGUUCUACAUCUGAUCCAGCUCCCUGCUGUGGCCCGGAAGUGCAGUGGAGGAUGGCCCAAGUGCUUGGGUCCCUGCACCCGCGUGGGAGACUAGGAAGAAGCACCUGGCUCCUGGCUUCGGAUCGGCACAGCGCCAGCCAUAAUGGCCAUUUAGGGGGUUACCAACGGAAGGAAGGCCUUUCUCUCUGUCUCUCUUUCUCACUGGCUACGACUCUAUCUGUCAAAAAAAAAAAAAACAUAUCCAUAUGUAAGCUCCAAACACACAAACCAAGCCCGAUGCCCAGGAAGCCCGACAAUGACACUUUACUGCUGAGGUCCGUGCAGCACUUUCUGGUUGACCAGGUGCUCUGCCAUGACCGAGGGCAUGGAAUCCUAACCCUCCCCCCAGCCAGCCACAGUCUGCUGAGGGUCCCGACACCAAUGCUGGGACAGAGGUGCAGACCGCACCCCACCCCCCGCCCUCCUUUUCCAAAUCAAUGCUUGCCCAGGAGGGGAAAUGAUUUGCUCAAGGCCCCCAGCUUGAUGAGCAGCCGGUGGGUCAGCACAGAGGUACCACGAGGACGAGGGAUGGGAGGCACUUGCAGAUUCGUCCAUGCCAACGUCUACCUCCCUGCACCACUGCUCGGACACUCACCUCCCCACUCCCACAUCUACGCCACCCCUGGGUCCGGUCACCCCUCAGCAUCCAAGAGGGCUGCUUCCAGGACUCCCCUCCCCCACAUACCCCAAUCCCCGGAUGCUCAAGCCCCUCAUGCAAAACAGUACCCUGUGUGCACAGAACCCACACGCAUCUUCCCGUAUGCACAAAACCGUCUCUGGUCGGGACACCGAACACCAUGGCAAUGCUUUGUAAAUAGCUGUCACGCUGCAGGAGCAGGUGACAAAGCGAAAGGAAGGUCUGGAUGUGUCCAGUACAGGAACAGAAAAUUUUUUUUCCUAUUUUCCAUCCUUGGGCGGCUGAGUUUGCCGUUGUAG